rnacentral:lncRNA from 1 species
UAUGCUAUUUAUUGGAAUCAAAUUUAUUGGCAUAGUCCUGUUGCAAAAAGUCCUAAUUCGUUCUUAUAAUUUGUACAUUUUCCAUAUUACUUUCACACACAAAAAAAAACUUGCAGAUCUGGUAGUUUCAUAUUUGCAGAUUUCUAUGCACACAUUGAAAACAUGGAGUUAAAUGCGCAUGGAUCCUCUUUGUUCAAGUGCAUUGGUGAAAUUGAAGAAAAUAAGGCCUUGCAACCUAAUGCCAUUAAACUUACCUUGUGUGGUCUGGAUACAAGUUAACACGACAUUCUUGGGCUUGCGUGCACGUAUUAAAUGAAACUACGCAAAGCAGUGAUGUAAUUGUAGUGUUCUGCACUUUAUAUCUGUGUGCUGUGUAAACAUCUUUGUAGUAUUUUUCAUUUUUCACAAAAGACCAUCAGUGUGAUGGCACAACUAUUUUGCCAAUGUGUUAUAGGUACUGGAGUUCUCACUUUUGUCAUAUUCUGUGGUGGAAUUCUACGCAUAUGUCUAUGAAACUGUUUGCUUCCCAUCUCGUGAAGCUUUUGUGGGCAUUCUAAACUUGAACUGAACGAGUUGCUUGGAGAGCUCACAUGGAGCUCACCUCUAGCUGGCAAAAAACCAGUUUUGUUCACUAGAAGUGGCUAACUAGGGUGCUGGAAUACCAUGGAAGCAUUGGCACUUCUCUCAGUGCAAGCAUUCCUUCCCUGCUUACUGUGUGGUGUAAGAUCCGAAGGUGUUCUUAGUGAGGGACAGUUGAUUACAAAAUUCCUCUUGACAUUGCACCACUGAUACAUGCUGAACCCGCAAAGAGAUUGAAAAACAUUUGUAGGUUUCAAAAUUGGUCCUAAGUAUGUCAAGAUUAACCUUUGUCCUAUAGCCACAUGCAGCAUUUGCAGCAGUUUAUAUUUAGCCUCAGAGAGGUGUGCUUGGGGAAGCAUAUAAUAAAAUGGUUGCCUGGUUAUCAUACCUCCUAGCCGCAUACUAUUCAUGAACCAUAUAGGUGUAGGUUAAGUCGGUCACCAAUCCAGCAAUGCCAUUUUAACACAGUCCUUUGACUACUCACAUGUACCAGAUUCUACAGUCUGUCAGCUGUGUGCAGUCUCACGUCAAGUCGGGUGGUGCAAAACUUAGUGGCCUCUGUGACUCCAAAAUGUUGCUGUAAUUUCAGAGGCAACAUUGUAAAUGAAAUAGCUGGUUUCUCUCUUCUUUGAGAGUUUUGACUCUUAAUUGCAUUCACGGACACUUCACUGAGCCAGUAGAACAAGUCGAUAAACGUGUCGCAGCUGGGUUGACGCAACUCAAUAAAGCAGCUUGACCCGAUUUUUCAAGCUCGUAUGUGGCCGACUGUGCAUAGGACUACUUGACAGUGCAGUGCUAUGUACAGUCGGCCACAAAAGUUUACGGGGCAUGGAUUCCGUGGCAAAUGUGAAUUUCUGCUCCAUCAAGGCAUAGCACUUCUAGAUUAAUGGAUUACUGUGCAGGUUACAGGGGUUAUUGCACACUAAAACUUUGAUUUCAAGGCUAUGGGGCCAGGCUUAAUGAAAAUUAAUAUUUUUCGCAAAUCCCAUGUCUCAUAAACUUAUGUGGCCGACUGUACUGUCUGUGUCCAUCUCUUUUAGCUGCGGUAAAAUCAUUUGAUGAUGACCUACCAACAAGCUUAUAUAUAGCCACUUUCAUUAACCUACAAGUUGUAUGUAAAUCAUUGAAACGGUAUGAGGAGGAGGCCUGUGUUAUUGGUGCAACGGUCUGAACACUGCACUGUUAGUGCAGCGGAUAAUACAGUCAAACCUCGUUAUAACGAAGUUGAAUCUGUUACGAAAAUGCUUUCGUUAUGUCCGAUAUUUCCUUCUGUUAUAUGGUGUUUCAGCUGUAUUUCCAUUCGUGGGACCUUGGUGACAUAGCCACAUAGCUUCCAAGACUUGUUAAGUGCCAUGCAAAAAUUUGAUCUGCACUUUGUGUAAGCUGUAAUACAUUCGGAUUGCUCUCCUAGCAUUUCUUGAUCACUCUUUUUCUUCCUCUCUUCCCAACCCCCCACUUCCCAUGUUGGUACCUUGGUAUUGUACACUUCAUACUACUAGUCAUACAAGAACAUGCUGUGGUGUUUUUAUUUCAUUUGUAGUUUUACAGAAUGUUCGCACUUCCAGGGUUUUUUGUUGUGUGAGUUGAUGUUAUUUAAAUGUCAAGAACAUCUUUGCCGCAUUUGAACUUCGGUGACGAGUUUUCCUAGCUCUGAUGUGAAGCUGCCGCCAAUUUAAAGUAAUCUCUUGACUGAAGCAAGGAACAUGCGUGAGCAACAGCUACUGCAGUUCAAUAGCACUCGCUAGCUGUGACAGAACAGGCCCCAGCCUGUCAUUAUUUCUGCAACGAAAGUGUGAUUGUUUGAACUGUUGGACGAAUUUAUUAUUGUGCUUCGUGCCUGGAUUUUUCUUUUAUUAGUGUCGUGCCGUAGCGAAAUUGGAUUUUUCUAGACUCUACAUGCUUCUGUGUUGAUACUUUGUGGUCUUUUGGAUGUCACCAGCAACUCGGUGUGUUUUGCCCAUUGUUUCAAACAUGUUGGCACUGUGUUUAUCUGCUUUGCCUGGUUGCAUGUACGAUUGGUUUUAUGGAAAUAAAUGUGGAACACAUCAAACA